rnacentral:lncRNA from 1 species
UGGACGCUUUGUGUUUCAGUCCCUGCUGCUCAGGGUAACAACGGCCUUCAGUGCUUCAGCUGUGACCCCACCACCUCCAUCUCCAACUGCACCACACCACUACAAUGCCGUGGAGUGGAGGACAGCUGCCUUCAAACAACAUUGACUAUCGGGUCCUCCACUGUUCCAGCCUUUGGUUGUGCAUCGUCAAACCUGUGUGCAGUUGCUUCCAGUCUGGGUAGUUUACCGUUCAUCCAGAGUCUUGGUGCCAUCAGCAGUACAGUGGAAUGCUGUGGGACCAGUUUGUGUAAUGCACCACAAACAAUUACUGCUCCUACAACAACAACAACAACAACAACAACAACAACAACAACCGCUGCCAAAAAGAAUCGUUUGGCUGUCACUGCCAUAAUUUCGUGGUGGAUACCAGGGAAAAAAAGUUAGUGAGAGCAGAUGGACUAUAGGCAACACUAAGGUGGAAUCUCAAUCUAAAAGAGAUACAUGAACAAACUAAAAGAGGUGAAACAAUCUUUAACAUUACUAGCUACGUGUUCCUUGUAUAUUUAUAUACUUUGUCAAAACAUGAUCCUAGAGCAGAGGUAUUCAACUGAAAUUAAAAGAGGCAAAAGUGCAGAUGAUUAUAAUGUCCACCUAUUUACUGCGAUAUAUUAUGUAGUAACCUACGUGUAAUAAAUACUACACUGUCAAAUCA